UACGAAGGGGGCUAGCGUUGCGCGGAAUCACUGGGCGUAAAGGGUGCGUAGGCGGGUCUUUAAGUCAGGGGUGAAAUCCUGGAGCUCAACUCCAGAACUGCCUUUGAUACUGAGGAUCUCGAGUCCGGGAGAGGUGAGUGGAACUCCGAGUGUAGAGGUGAAAUUCGUAGAUAUUCGGAAGAACACCAGUGGCGAAGGCGGCUCACUGGCCCGGUACUGACGCUGAGGUGCGAAAGCGUGGGGAGCAAACAGG
rnacentral:rRNA from 1 species